ANGAUAUCUNNUNANGACAUNUCCNGACGCUGGCUCCUAAAAGGUUAACUCACCGACUUCGGGUGUUACAAACUCUCGUGGUGUGACGGGCGGUGUGUACAAGGCCCGGGAACGUAUUCACCGCGGCAUGCUGAUCCGCGAUUACUAGCGAUUCCAGCUUCACGCAGUCGAGUUGCAGACUGCGAUCCGAACUGAGAACAGAUUUGUGGGAUUGGCUUAACCUCGCGGUUUCGCUGCCCUUUGUUCUGUCCAUUGUAGCACGUGUGUAGCCCAGGUCAUAAGGGGCAUGAUGAUUUGACGUCAUCCCCACCUUCCUCCGGUUUGUCACCGGCAGUCACCUUAGAGUGCCCAACUGAAUGCUGGCAACUAAGAUCAAGGGUUGCGCUCGUUUGCGGGACUUUAACCCAACAUCUCACGACACGAGCUG
rnacentral:rRNA from 1 species